rnacentral:lncRNA from 13 species
GACUAACAUGUUAAACAGUGUAAAUAAAUAGCUAAUGUAAAAAUGUGUGCGCACACCCCUGCCUGUCUGUCCUCUUGUUACCAGUCCUGCCCUGAUGAAUGUGUUCCUUCUGGAGGUGCACCACUCCCUAAGCCUGGCCUCUGAAAUGUACCAGGCCCUGACCCAGGCUCACACUGAGCUCUGCCAGCUCCACCGUGCCAGGGGGGUGACUGAGAGAGUCACCCUGGAACAGAGACUCCUACAGCGGGCUCUGCAGCACUGGCACUCCCUGGAUCCUCCCGGGGCCUACUAUAGCUCUCAAACUCAAAAGGAUGUGAGUCGAGUAUCUCCCUCACAUUCGAGGGAGUCGAGUAUCUCCCUCACACUGAUAUGCUGCACCUGCCACUUGAGAAGUUCUAAUUGUAAAAAUGAUAUUUUCUUAAUUGACUCACCUGUGUAAAUAAAGGUUAAAAAAAACACGGAAUCUAUAUCAAUAUUGUAAUGUGCAAUGAUUGCAAACAGAUCACAGCAGAUUGUUUUUUCUUUCGCUCCAGUUGUUUUCAGAUGUUUUCAUGGAGGACCCCUCCCUGGUCCGAGCGUUGGGGGUCUCUCUGAUCAGAUCGGCUGAGGAGCAGGACAUGAAGCAGGGGAAGGAGAAACAGUUCUUUGCUGUGGAAACCUUCGCCAAGCUGCUGGAGUUAGUCACCAUCCGCCAUCGCCUUAUGGAGUCAGCAGCAGAGACUGCACAUCUGGCACAGUUAUACAAAACACAAGCUCUGGAGCUGGGCCUUGAUGAGUUCCACCUGUAUGUGCGCCCGGAGCAGUUUGAGUUUGCUGUCCAGAGAGACAAGGCAGAGCAUAGACCUCUGUUUGUUACGGCACUACUGCAGGACGACAGCUGUUUGGACAGGUACACUCCAUCUAAGUUUCCACUGAGCAUCCAGGAGCUUGAUGAGAACCAGAUUGGAAAAUUCAGCUUCUACUCUGAAGAGACAGUAGUGCAUCUCAUGAAUAGGUCAGGCAUAGAGAACCUGCAGGUGACCCUGGCCUGUCAGGUGACUCAGAAGAACGCUCUGAUUGGUGCAGUGAAGCAGGCGUGUCUAUGUUAUUGGUCAGAGACUUUCACAGGCUCUCCAGAGGUACCUUACAUCACUACACAUAUACUUUAAUCCAGUGGCCUGUUUGCUGGGAUCAAAUGACUUCUCUUUCUCUCUCUUUGAUUUAGGUUCUUUGUUCUAGUGGCGAUGCAAGCUCCUUAGCUAAGCAGGGUCCCAAAGUUCGCAAAGAUACAAGUGAACCAAAGAUAACUGGUGCAGGAACCAGGGAGAGGUGAGUUGGAGGGUCAAUGAAGGCCAUGUUUUGUAAUUAUCAAUAUUAUUACAGUUAAAUAUAAUUAUUAUGUCAUGUGAUUUGACUGUUGUGUUUGUUCAGGCUGACCGAGGCGUUUGUCUCCAUCCAGCUGGAGAAAGUGGGUCCACGAGAUGAGAUGUUGAACUCUUUCGUAAAGAGGAGACAGAUCAUGGGUGUUGUGAUGAUGAACCCUGUAAGUGAAAUGUCAUAGAGGUCAGAGGGGGCAGGAGCUAUGUUGGAUCUCAGAUAUUACUGUUUGAUUGUUUACCUUCAU